rnacentral:rRNA from 1 species
AUUGAACGCUGGCGGCAGGCCUAACACAUGCAAGUCGAACGGCAACAGGAAGACUCUUGCUUCUUUGCUGACGAGUGGCGGGCGGGUGAGUCAUGUCUGGGAAACUGCCUGAUGGAGGGGGAUAACUACUGGCCAGGGUAGCUAAUACCGCAUACCGCCGCAAGACCAAGGAGGGGGACCUUCGGCCCUCUUGCCAUCGGAUGUGCCCAGGUGUGGUUAGCUAGUUGGUGGGGGAACGGCCCACCCAGGCGACGAUCCCUAGCUGGGCUGAGCGGACGACCAGCCACACUGGGACUGGGAAACGGGCCAGACUCCUACGGGAGGGAGCAGGGGGGAAUUUUGGACAAUGGGCGAAAGCCUGAUCCAGCAAUGCCGCGUGUGUGAAGAAGGCCUUCGGGUUGUAAAGCACUUUUGUCCGGAAAGAAAAGCUUGGCUCUAAUACCGUCGGGGGAUGACGGUACCGGAAGAAUAAGCACCGGCUAACUACGUG